GCCGUCAUCCCCAUCUCUUUUCUCUCCCUAUCUCUUCUCAUCGAUCCCCAUCUCUUCUCUCCCUACCUGCGACCCGACGGCCGCCCCUACCCCGACCCAGGACCCGCCGCCCCCUGCUCCGACACGGCCGGCCGUCGGGCCGCCCGCCGCUCCCUACCCCGACCUGGCGGCCCCCGACCCAGGACCCGCCGCCCCCUGCCCCGACCCGGCGGGCCCUGACCCCUGCCGCUCUGUACCCCGACCCGACCCCUGCCCCCGCCGGUCGGCUGUCCCCGUCCUAGGCCGCCGCCGGAUCCGCCAUGCCGACCCGGUCGGCCGUCGCCGGAUCCCGGCCCCCCUCCUCUCGAUCGACAAGGAGCCCGUCCGUGGAGAGGAGGACCCCGUUCCCGCCCCGCCGUAUGCCCGGCCGCGGCUUCCGUCGAGCUGCUGCCGCCGUCGAGUGUUCCGCCGGAUCCCGUAUGACGCGUGAUGGAGAUGAAAUGGAGGAGUGCGCCGCUGGAGAUCAAGUCAUGGAGUGCGCCGACGCCAUGGAGCGGGUGCCGGUUUGGGUCCUGGCAGCAGCACGUUGCUCUGGCCCGUGUUUUUAUUUUUAUUUUUAUAAAAUGGUAUCACUGUCGGGCGCAAGUAAAAGCCCGCCACUAGUAAGUUACUCAUCACUAACACCAGGUGAUGCAUACAUGUAAUUUGUGGCGGGUGAGAUGCCCGUUAGUGAUGUUGUUUUACGCCCGUUACUAAUGAGCAUCUCUGUAGUAGUGAAUUUUUGAAAAAGUAAACUUGGGCUAAAACAAGAAUUGCACCCA